ACAGCUGUGCUUCCACCUGGCCUUCAGUGCCUCGUGCCCGAGAGCGGAAAAGGGAAAUCGCGAGCGGAGCACCGGUGUGCUGGCCACGUGGGCCCCGCCGGGCCGACUCGACCGUGCUGUCGCCCGCCGCUCCAGUGCUAAGGGACCUGGAAGAGAUCCCGAUGGGUCCUGUCCUGCGGAGGUGGUUUCCCCUGUGAAGCCAGAGAUUCACCCAGGAGCGUGAGGGGAGCCGGGUCCUGAACCCCCAAGCCGCCCACUACCCUCUACUUUACCGGAUGGAAUUCAUCAGUAACUAGCCAGGUCUGAGGUACAGUCAGUGAAUACCUGUUUAAUGAAUGCAUGCAUAAAUGAAUGAAUGGAUGAUCCAGCUCUUCCUGGAGCAGGCGCGACUUCCACAGAAACAAAAAGAGGGCAAACGCGAGCCGUAAGCAGAAUGUCCUGCACUGCCAGAAUUGCCCAGCUUCCUGGCACACCUACCAACCAGUCAUUCCCAACACUGCCCAGUAUGCAGCCUCCCGGCAGAGGGCCUGGAUGUCUUGGCAGGGAGCAGCAUGCAGAGGGCCCUUGCACAACCUGGGUCUUCUGGAAGUUCCAUGCCCAGGUGUUGGCCCAGCUCUCCUCAUGGUUCCAAGAAGGCUGCCCCAGGAAGGCUUGUGGACAGAGGGAGAAGCAUCUCUUCCUCUAAGUCUCUUUUUAUCUAAGAAACCAGUUUGACCAGCAUCCUUCCCCUCGGCUCCCUGGGAGGAACGCAUGGAUCCCUUCGCCUUCCCCCAUCCCUCCAUGGUUGACUAAACCCACUAGGAUCCACUCUUUCGUGUGGAAAUGGGUUCAGGCCUCCCAUGAACAGCAUGAAGAUGCCCUCUGUUAUGGGUUACAUUAUGUCCCCUGCCCCCGAGACAGUGUGUUGAGUCCUAACCCUAGUACUGCAGAAUGUGAAUUUAUUAGAACAUAGGGUCUUUAUGGAGGUCAUUAAGUUAAAUGAGGGCAUUAGGGUGGGCUGGUGUCCUGAUAUAAAGGGGAAAUUUGGGGCUGGGUGUAGUGGCUUACACCUAUAAUCCCAGUGCUUUGGGAGACCAAGGCAGGAGGAUUGCUUGAGGGCAGGAGUUCGAGAUACCGGGGAGACCCAGUAUCUAUUUAAAAAAAAUAAAAAACAAAAAAAAGAAAAAAAAAAAAAAAAAAAAAAAAAAAAAAAAAAAAAAAAAAAAAAAAAAAAAAAAAAAAAAAAAAAAAAAAAAAAAAAAAAAAAAAAAAAAAAAAAAAAAACAAAAAAAUUAGUGUGUGGUGCAUGCCUGUAGUCCCAGCUACUCAGGAGGCUGAGGUGGGAGGAUCACUUGAGUCCAGGAAUUUGAGGCUGCAGUGAGCCAUGAAAAGGUGGGGGACGAUGGAGACCCACAGGGAAAACAUCUUGUGAACACGGCAGAGAUAAGGGUGACACCUCUACACACUGAGGAACUUCAAAGGCGGCCAGCAAGCCACUGGGAGCUCGGGGAAGGCACAGCGAAGAUGCUCAUCUGCUCGCUGCACUCAGAGGGAAGCCAGCCUGCCAACCCUUGAUCUCAGACCUCUGCCCCCCGGAACUGUGAGAUGAUAGAUUUCUGUUGUUUAAGCCCCAGUUUGUGGUGCUUUGUUACAGCAGCCCUAGGGAACCAUCCACUAUCAGAACAAAAGCAGGGCUGGACUGCUAGAAGAAAGGAGAGGAGAACUGCAGAGGAUACCCGCCUUGGGGCUGAACCUGAGAUCACUCCAGGGCUCCCUGGGUUGUUUUGAAGAAUGGAGAUGGAUUUGUGCAGGGCUCACUGUAGAAGCUCAGUACAACAUGUGGCACUUAUAAGGCUGCAGUCCACAGAGCUCAGUCCUCAAGGAGCGCUGCAUCCACAGACAUUCCAAACAGAAAUUCCCAUUUCUCUUGGCUUCUUUCUCAAACAUGGAAGGAGGGACUUCUCAGUGCAUCAUUAAAGAACCCUCUUCUUGGCCAGGCAUGGUGGUUCAUGCCUGUAAUCCCAGCACUUUGGGAGGCCGAGGCAGGAGGGUUGCUUGAGGCCAGGAGUUCGAGACCAGUCUGGGCAACAUAAUCGAGAUACUGCCUCUACAAAAAAUUAAAACAUUCCUUAAUGUUGAUCUGUGAGAUUUUGGUGCACCCACCACCCGAACAGUAUACACUGAAUCCAAUUUGUAGCUUUUAUCCAUCACCCCCUUCCCACCCUUUCCCCGAAGUCGACUGUGUCAUUCUUAUGCCUUUGCAUCCUCAUAGCUUAGCUCCCACUUAAGAGUGAGAACAUACAAUGUUUGGCUUUCCAUUCCUGAGUUACUUCACUUAGAAUAAUAGUCUCCAAUUCCAUCUAGGUUGCUGUGAAUGUCAUUAAUUUAUUCCUUUUUACGGCUGAGUAGUAUUCCAUCCUAUAUAUAUAUACCACAAUUUCUUUAUCCACUCGUUGAUUGAUGGGCAUUUGGGCUAGUUCCAUGUUUUUCCAACUGCAAAUUGCGCUGCUAUAAACAUCUGUGUUCAAGUAUCUUUUUUGUGUAAUGAUUUCUUUUCCUUUGAGUAGAUACCUAGUAGCUGGAUCAAAUGGUAGGAUCACACUUGUAGUUCUUUAAGGAACCUCCACAGUGAUUUCUGUAGUGGUUAUAGUAGUUUACAUUCCCACCAGCAGUGUAGAAAUGUUCCCUGUUCACCAUAUCCACACCAACAUCUUUUUUUUUAAAUUUUUUUAUUAUGGCCAUUCUUGCAGGAGUUUGGAAAUAAAGAAAAAAGUGGAUUUUGGCCUGGGUGGGUGAGGAAGAAUACAGAAUAACAGAAAUAGAAAAUGUCACAUAACAUCUAAACAAACAAACAAACAAAAACCCAGGAAGAAGAAUAAAAGCUGAAAUUAAAGGGAUAGAAGAAUAGAUAAAUAAAUCCAAAAGCUGGUUCUUUGGAAAGACCAGUAAAAUAGAUAAAUCCCUUGAAAGCCUAAUUAAGGGGAAAAUAAGAUAGCAAGAGUACAAAAUAAGGGAAAGGCAAAUAAAUGGCAAACUAAUAGAAGAUAAAUUCAUAUAUAUAGAUAUAUAUAUAUAAAGGGGAGUUUAUUAAGUAUUAACUUACACAAUCACAAGGUCCCACAAUAGGUUGUCUGCCGGCUAAGGAGCAAGGAGAGCCAGUUCAAGUCCCAAAACAGAACUUGGAGUCCGAUGUUCGAGGCCAGGAAGCAUCCAGCACAGGAGAAAGAUGUAGGCUGGGAGGCUAAGCCAAUCUCUCUUUUUCACAUUUUUCUGCCUGUCUUAUAUUCUCUGGCAGCUGAUUAGAUGGUGCCCACCAGAUUAAGGAUGGGUCUGCCUUCCCCAGCCCACUGACUCAAUGUUACUCUCUUUUGGCAACAUCCUCACAGACACACCCAGGAUCAAUACUUUCAAUUCAAUCAAGUUGACACUCAGUAUUAACCAUCACAAUACGAUAGGAUUAUUUUCUGUAAUAACCUAUGUAAAAAUAAGCAGUCAUUAUUUUCCUGUUUUGUUCUUUAGGUGUAAAACAAACAAGAAUUUUAAAAGAAGAAACUUCAAUUUUAAAGAUAUUAUUCAAACUAAGUUAAACAUUUCAUGUAUAAAUGAAAACCAUACAUUUUGUUUGCAUGUAUCAAACAAAAAUAUUCCAUCUUGCAGUUAACAUUUCCGUUGUUGAAAUUUUCAACACCAAAACUCCAUGUUUAAUGAUGGAAUUUAACUGCUUAAACGCUGCAUCUUUGCCUUCACAAUCACAGCGAUACUGUUUCUUUCAAAUGUCAUGGGAGUUGGAGAUAUGUCUUGCUCCUGUGCCGGGCGCAAAGGUGAGGUGGUCAAUUGUUGGUCUGGGACUUUCAGUGCUGAAUUCAGAAAAGUCCUGGGUGAACUGGGACAAGUUGGCCCGCCAGCUGAAGGACUGAAAAGAAAGCUUUGGACACUUUCCCAAUGAACAUGUAGCCAAGUCUUUGUGAAUCAGAGGCCAGCCGUGGAACCAGGAGUUCUCUGAAUUAAUUUAGGUGCAGAAUAUGUUUAUGAAAGGACAACUAAUAAAAACCUGAAGUUCACAUAUGUAUUAUUAAAACACCAUCGUAACUUCAGCAAUUGUUUAGAACAAAGGGAUCUUUUUCAGGGAGGAGUAUUUUAUCAGUGCCACUGUUUAGAAUUGAUGGGCGUGAUGAUAAUAACAAGCAGAGCAACUUUUAGUCAGUUUUAUUAUUGUUUUAACAUGAUCUACAGACAAUACAUGUCCUUAUUGCCUGCACCUGGGGCAGAGAGCGCCUCUGGACCCACCCUUCCUAAACCACCACACCUGGCCUGGAACGCGCACCUGGUAAGGGUAUAUGUUAGCUCUCAUUGCAGCUAACUGGGGAGUCUUGGCUAAGUCUUUUCACAUCUCUGAGGCUGGAUCUAACGGUUAUUUUGUAGGGUUGUUGGAUAUAGGAUUUUGUAGGGUCAUGGUUGUAAGACUAUCAGUUAAACUAUAAAGAACCUAGUGCAAGCCUUGACGUUAGUAGGGGCUCAGUAACUGCACUGUCCCUCCCCUUCCCCGCUACCUGGCUUCCGCAUCGACACGGUGCUGCUUCCCUCACCUGAAAACGUCAUGCUCAGAUCUUCGAUGAUUGAAAUUUGUCUCAUCUUGGCCGGGCGCGGUGGCUCACGCCUGUAAUCCAGCACUUUGGGAGGCUGAGGUCGGUGGAUCAUGAGGUCAGGAGAUCGAGACCAUCGUGGCUAACACAGUGAAACCCCGUUUCUACUAAAAAAAACAAAAAAAUUAGCCAGGCGUGGUGCCUGUAGUCCCAGCUACUCAGGAGGCUGAGGCAGGAGAAUCGCUUGAACCUGGGAGGUGGAGGUUGCAGUGAGCCGAGAUGGUGCCAAUGCACUCCAGCCUGGGCGGCAGAGCGAGACUCCGUCGCGAAAAAAAAAAAAAGGAAAAGAAAUUUGUCUCAUCUCAAAUCAUGAAGCCCCAGUAACCGCACUGCUUCUGGCUUUCCUGGAAGCUCGUUACCUUGGCCAUAUCUAGUCUUGUCUGGUCUCUGCUCCUUUGACGAGGUGGACUGUUAGCAUUUAGGUGUGCGUGCUGUCUUGUCACCCCAUGAGAUUGCAUGGUUCAUGGAUGACAAUGUUUUCUCACCGUGCCCACACUGAAACCAAGCUCGUGGAAAUACACAGAGACCACACACACACAGUCUCCAGUAAGGUCCUGAUUUCAGAUACUUGGCAUCCCAUUCUCUGCAGACUCUCGGUGCUGACUUAAAGUAGACAUGGGGUCCUACAUGACAUUUCAGUGGGGAGAAGAUCCUGGUUUGCCUGGUAUAGUCAGUCCUGAUAUAAUGAUCAGUUAUGCUGUUCUGUACUUAACUUUCAAUCAACAAGCACAUUAUUUUGUUAACUUAAAACAUAUUUUAAAUGCUAUUGGAUGGGAG
rnacentral:lncRNA from 1 species